rnacentral:rRNA from 1 species
GAUGAACGCUGGCGGCGUGCCUAAUACAUGCAAGUCGAGCGAACGGACGAGAAGCUUGCUUCUCUGAUGUUAGCGGCGGACGGGUGAGUAACACGUGGAUAACCUACCUAUAAGACUGGGAUAACUUCGGGGAACCGGAGCUAAUACCGGAUGAUAUUUUGAACCGCAUGGUUCAAAAGUGAAAGACGGUCUUGCUGUCACUUAUAGAUGGAUCCGCGCUGCAUUAGCUAGUUGGUAAGGUAACGGCUUACCAAGGCAACGAUGCAUAGCCGACCUGAGAGGGUGAUCGGCCACACUGGAACUGAGACACGGUCCAGACUCCUACGGGAGGCAGCAGUAGGGAAUCUUCCGCAAUGGGCGAAAGCCUGACGGAGCAACGCCGCGUGAGUGAUGAAGGUCUUCGGAUCGUAAAACUCUGCUAUUAGGGAAGAACAUAUGUGUAAGUAACUGUGCACAUCUUGACGGUACCUAAUCAGAAAGCCACGGCUAACUACGUG